rnacentral:pre_miRNA from 1 species
GGCACAGGUUUGAAGUAGGGUAGGUUACCAGUAUCAGCUGAGCCUACUAAUCUACUCUGCUUCAAGUUUGUGCUC